rnacentral:rRNA from 1 species
CGCGAGCAUCGUCUCGGCAAGUUGCAACGGGCACCAGGUGGAUGCCUAGGCGCUGGAAGCCGAUGAAGGACGUUGCAGGCUGCGAUAAGCCUCGGGGAGCUGCCAAGCAAGCGACGAUCCGGGGAUUUCCGAAUGGGAAAACCUGGCACGGGUCAUGCCGUGUCACCGUCGCCUGAACACAUAGGGCGAUGGGAGGGAACCCGGGGAACUGAAACAUCUCAGUACCCGGAGGAAGAGAAAGCAACCGCGAUGCCCCUAGUAGUGGCGAGCGAACGGGGUAGAGCCUAAACCCGCGUGGUGGCAAGGCGGCAGCCGUUGCCACGUGGGGGUCGUGGGACUCGAGGGGAAGACCUGCCGGUCUUCCAAGGAGUUACAAAGCUCGCGGAUAGCCGAAUGGCCUGGAACGGCCAGCCGAAGGAGGUAAUAGCCCUGUAGGCGAAAUCCGACGAGCCUCCUGUCGAGGAUCCCGAGUAGGACGGAACCCGUGAAACUCCGUCUGAAUCAGCGGGGACCACCCCGUAAGGCUAAACACUCUCCAGCGACCGAUAGCGCACCAGUACCGUGAGGGAAAGGUGAAAAGCACCCCGGGAGGGGAGUUAAAAGUACCUGAAACCUGGUGCCUACAAGCCGUCGGAGCUGCCUUCGGGCGGUGACGGCGUGCCUUUUGAAGAAUGAGCCGGCGAGUUAGCGAUCAGUAGCGAGGUUAACCGGUAGACGGGAAGCCGUAGCGAAAGCGAGUCCGAACAGGGCGACACAGUUGCUGGUCCUAGACCCGAAACGGUGUGAGCUACCCAUGGCCAGGCUGAAGCGCGGGUAAGACCGCGUGGAGGGCCGAACCCACCUAGGUUGAAAACUGGGGGGAUGAGCUGUGGGUAGAGGUGAAAAGCCAAUCGUACACCGUGAUAGCUGGUUCUCCCCGAAAUGCAUUUAGGUGCAGCGUUGCGUGUUCCGUAUCGGAGGUAGAGCACUGCUUGGACGCGGGGGCCUAAAAGCUUACCAACUUCAGGCAAACUCCGAAUGCCGGUACGUCAAGCGCAGCAGUGAGUCUGCGGGGGAUAAGCUCCGUAGACGAGAGGGAAACAGCCCAGACCGACAGCUAAGGUCCCAAAGUCAUGGCUGAGUGGCAAAGGAUGUGGGACUUCACAGACAACCAGGAGGUUGGCUUAGAAGCAGCCACCCUUGAAAGAGUGCGUAAUAGCUCACUGGUCAAGAGGUCCUGCGCCGACAAUGUAACGGGUCUAAGCCAUGCACCGAAGCUUCGGGAGUACACCGAUACGCGAAAGCGGGUGUGCUCAGUAGGGGAGCGUCGAUCCGCGGGUGAAGCGGCGGGGAAACCCAGCCGUGGACGCGGGUGGAGUGAGAAUGCCGGCAUGAGUAGCGAAAGAGGGGGGAGGAACCCCUCCGCCGAAUGUCCAAGGGUUCCUGGGGAAGGUUCAUCCGCCCAGGGUAAGUCGGGACCUAAGGCGAGGCCGAGAGGCGUAGUCGAUGGACAACAGGUUGAUAUUCCUGUACCAGUUCCAUACCGCCCACAGCCGAAUCCAGCCUGCUAAGGAAACCCUUCGGGGCUACCGACCCGGCUGGUAGUAGGCUAGCGAUGGGGUGACGCAGAAGGGUAUGGCAACCCCGGCGACGGUAGACCGGGGGUAAGUGCGUAGGCCGCGGUCCAGGCAAAUCCGGACCGCAUCACGGCUGAGACACGACGCCGACGCAUCAAAGCGGAAGUGCCAGACCCCAUACUGCCAAGAAAAGCCUCUAGCGAGGUGUGGAGCUGCCCGUACCCCAAACCGACUCAGGUGGACAGGUAGAGAAUACCGAGGCGAUCGAGCGAAUCCUGGUUAAGGAACUCGGCAAAUUGGCCCCGUAACUUCGGGAGAAGGGGUGCCUCUGGCGGUGACGGACCUUGCGUCCUGAGCUGCUGGGGGCCGCAGAGACCAGGCCCAAGCGACUGUUUACUAAAAACACAGGUGCAUGCGAAGCCGUAAGGCGAUGUAUAUGCACUGACGCCUGCCCGGUGCUGGAACGUUAAGGGGAGGGGUUAGCCUUUUGGCGAAGCUCCGAACCCAAGCGCCAGUAAACGGCGGCGGUAACUAUAACCGUCCUAAGGUAGCGAAAUUCCUUGUCGGGUAAGUUCCGACCUGCACGAAUGGCGUAACGACUUGGGCACUGUCUCAACCAGGAGCUCGGCGAAAUUGCAAUGCGAGUAAAGAUGCUCGCUACGCGCAGCAGGACGGAAAGACCCCGGGAGCUUUACUGCAGCUUGGUGUUGGGGUUCGGCAUUGUGUGUGCAGGAUAGGUGGGAGGCUAGGAAGCCCGGACGCUAGUUCGGGUGGAGCCACCCUUGGAAUACCACCCUCACAAUGUGGAGCUUCUAACCUCGGUCCGUUAUCCGGAUCAGGGACAGCGCCUGGUGGGCAGUUUAACUGGGGCGGUUGCCUCCUAAAAGGUAACGGAGGCGCUCAAAGGUUCCCUCGGGCUGGUUGGCAAUCAGCCUUUGAGUGCAAGGGCACAAGGGAGCUUGACUGUGAGACUGACAGGUCGAGCAGGUGCGAAAGCAGGACCUAGUGAUCCGGCGGUGGCAUGUGGGAGCGCCGUCGCUCAACGACUAAAAGCUACCCCGGGGAUAACAGGCUUAUCUCCCCCAAGAGUCCACAUCGACGGGGAGGUUUGGCACCUCGAUGUCGGCUCGUCGCAUCCUGGGGCCGGAGUAGGUCCCAAGGGUUGGGCUGUUCGCCCAUUAAAGCGGCACGCGAGCUGGGUUUAGAACGUCGUGAGACAGUUCGGUCCCUAUCCGCUGCGCGCGCAGGAGACUUGAGGAGGGCUGCCCCUAGUACGAGAGGACCGGGGUGGACGCACCUCUGGUGUGCCGGUUGUCCUGCCAAGGGCAUGGCCGGUUUGCUACGUGCGGAAGUGAUAAGCGCUGAAAGCAUCUAAGCGCGAAGCACUCUCCAAGAUAAGGUCUCCCACCGUCACGAACGGGUAAGGCCCCCUGCGAGACGACAGGGUUGAUAGGCCGGAGGUGUAAGCUCAGCAAUGGGUUCAGCCGACCGGUACUAAUAGGCCGAGGACUUGCCG